rnacentral:rRNA from 1 species
AGUGAACGCUGGCGGUAGGCCUAACACAUGCAAGUCGAACGGCAGCACAGUAAGAGCUUGCUCUUACGGGUGGCGAGUGGCGGACGGGUGAGGAAUACAUCGGAAUCUACUUUUUCGUGGGGGAUAACGUAGGGAAACUUACGCUAAUACCGCAUACGACCUACGGUUGAAAGCAGGAGAUCUUCGGACCUUUCGCGAUUGAAUGAGCCGAUGUCGGAUUAGCUAGUUGGCAGGGUAAAGGCCCACCAAGGCGACGAUCCGUAGCUGGUCUGAGAGGAUGAUCAGCCACACUGGAACUGAGACACGGUCCAGACUCCUACGGGAGGCAGCAGUGGGGAAUAUUGGACAAUGGGCGCAAGCCUGAUCCAGCCAUACCGCGUGGGUGAAGAAGGCCUUCGGGUUGUAAAGCCCUUUUGUUGGGAAAGAAAAGCAGCAGGUUAAUACCCCGCUGUUCUGACGGUACCCAAAGAAUAAGCACCGGCUAACUUCGUG